rnacentral:rRNA from 1 species
GUUAGGAAUAUUGGACAAUGGGCGAAAGCCUGAUCCAGCCAUGCCGCGUGAACGAUGAAGGCCUUCGGGUUGUAAAGUUCUUUAGCCGAUGAUUAUAAUGACUGUAGUCGGAAAAUAAGCCCCGGCUAACUUCGUGCCAGCAGCCGCGGUAAUACGAAGGGGGCGAGCGUUAUUCGGAAUCACUGGGCGUAAAGCGUGCGUAGGCGGUUUUGUAAGUUAGGAGUGAAAGCCCAGGGCUCAACCUUGUAAUUGCUCUUAAAACUGCAAGGCUCGAAUCUCGGAGAGGAUAGCGGAAUUUCCAGUGUAGCAGUGAAAUGCGUAGAUAUUGGAAGGAACACCAGUGGCGUAAGCGGCUAUCUGGACGAGUAUUGACGCUGAGGCACGAAAGCGUGGGGAUCAAACAGGAUUAGAAACCCUGGUAGUCC